UCCCAGACUCCUACGGGAGGCAGCAGUGGGGAAUAUUGGGCAAUGAGCGCAAGCCUGACCCAGCAACGCCGCGUGAAGGAAGAAGGCUUUCGGGUUGUAAACUUCUUUUAAGAGGGAAGAGCAGAAGACGGUACCUCUUGAAUAAGCCACGGCUAACUACGUGCCAGCAGCCGCGGUAAUACGUAGGUGGCAAGCGUUGUCCGGAUUUACUGGGUGUAAAGGGCGUGUAGCCGGGCUGACAAGUCAGAUGUGAAAUCCCGUGGCUCAACCACGGAACUGCAUUUGAAACUGUCGGUCUUGAGUAUCGGAGAGGCAGGCGGAAUUCCUAGUGUAGCGGUGAAAUGCGUAGAUAUCAGGAGGAACACCAGUGGCGAAGGCGGCUUACUGGACUGUAACUGACGUUGAGGCUCGAAAGCGUGGGGAGCAAACAGGAUUAGAUACCCGUGUAU
rnacentral:rRNA from 1 species